GAUGAAGAACGCAGCGAAAUGCGAUAAGUAAUGUGAAUUGCAGAAUUCAGUGAAUCAUUGAAUCUUUGAACGCACAUUGCGCCCGCCAGCACUCUGGCGGGCAUGCCUGUUCGAGCGUCAUUUCAACCAUCAAGCCCCCAGGGGCUUGUGCUGGGGCCCUGCGGCUGCCCGCAGGCCCUGAAAACCAGUGGCGGGCUCGCUAGUCACACCGAGCGCAGUAGCACAUCUCGCUCAGGGCGUGCGGCGGGCUCCUGCCGUGAAACCCCCCACUGUAACCCCAAAGGUUGACCUCGGAUCAGGUAGGAAUACCCGCUGAACUUAAGCAUAUCAAUAAGCGGAGGA
rnacentral:misc_RNA from 1 species